rnacentral:antisense_RNA from 1 species
AAUUACAAUGUUAUUGGAACCGAUUGGUUCCUAGUGAUUGUAGAACGUUUCGACCUUUAGGCAGGAGUGAAACGAUUCAUUGGUGCGUUAUCUGCGG